rnacentral:rRNA from 1 species
GACGAACGCUGGCGGCGUGCCUAAUACAUGCAAGUCGAACGCAGUGGGGAUGGGUGAGUAACACGUGGGUAACCUCCCAUCAGAGGGGAUAACACUUGGCAACAGGUGCUAAACCGAUACUGAUGGAUGGACCUGCGGUGCAUUAGCUAGUUGGUGGGGUAACGGCUCACCAAGGCCACGAUGCAUAGCCGACCUGAGAGGGUGAUCGGCCACACUGGAACUGAGACACGGCCCAGACUCCUACGGGAGGCAGCAGUGGGGAAUCUUCGGCAAUGGACGAAAGUCUGACCGAGCAACGCCGCGUGAGUGAAGAAGGUUUUCGGAUCGUAAAGCUCUGUUGUUAGAGAAGCGGUAUCUGACCAGAAAGCCACGGCUAACUACGUGCCAGCCGCCGCGGUAAUAC